UACGUAGGGUGCGAGCGUUGUCCGGAAUUAUUGGGCGUAAAGAGCUUGUAGGCGGUUUGUCGCGUCUGCUGUGAAAAUCCGAGGCUCAACCUCGGACUUGCAGUGGGUACGGGCAGACUAGAGUGUGGUAGGGGAGACUGGAAUUCCUGGUGUAGCGGUGAAAUGCGCAGAUAUCAGGAGGAACACCGGUGGCGAAGGCGGGUCUCUGGAACGGUACUGACGCUGAGACGCGAAAGCGUGGGGAGCGAACAGG
rnacentral:rRNA from 1 species